AUAUUUUACAAAUGGGGCAACCCUGAGCCAGCCAUGCUGCGUGUGUGAAGAAGGUCUUCGCAUUGUAUAGCAUUCUAAUUUGGGCGGAAGGGCUUUAGGUUAAUACCAUGAAGUUUUGACGGUACCAAUAGAAUAAGAACCGGCUAUCCCUGUGCCAGCAGCCGUCGUAAUACAGAGGGUGAAAGUGUUCAGCGGAAGUACUGGGUGUAAAGCAGGGGUAGGUGGUUCAGUAAGAUGGGUGUGAAGAGACAGGGCAUAACCUGGGAACUGCUUUAAUAAAUGCUGGGCUAGAGUACGGUAGAAGAUAGUGGAGUUUCCUGUGUAGCGGUGAAAUGAGUAGAUAUAGGAAGGAACACCAGUGGCGAAGGCGACUACCUGGACUGCUACUGACAAUGAGGUGCGACGGCGUGGGGAGCAAACA
rnacentral:rRNA from 1 species